UUAGUUGCCACCAGGUCAAGCUGAGCACUCUAAAGGGACUGCCGGUGAAAAACCGGAGGAAGGUGGGGAUGACGUCAAGUCCUCAUGGCCUUUAUGUCCAGGGCUACACACGUACUACAAUGGGCGGUACAAUGAGUCGCAAACCCGCGAGGGGGAGCCAAUCUCAAUAAACCGCUCUCAGUUCGGAUUGCAGUCUGCAACUCGACUGCAUGAAGCUGGAAUCGCUAGUAAUCGCUGAUCAGCAAGCAGCGGUGAAUACGUUCCCGGGCCUUGUACACACCGCCCGUCACAUCACGAAAGCCAGUUGUACUAGAAGCCGGUGAUUCGACCGCAAGGAGAUAGCCGUCCAAGGUAUGACUGGUGAUUGGGGUG
rnacentral:rRNA from 1 species